CCCUUAGAUGUUCUGGGCCGCACGCGUGCUACACUGAGUGGAUCAGCGGGUCAGGUUGCGCGAAAGUGUUUCCUAAUCUUGAAAUCCGCUCGUUAUGGGGAUUGACGGUUGCAAUUUUCCGUCAUGAACGAGGAAUACCUUGUAAGCGCGGGUCAUCAUCCCGCGCUGAAUACGUCCCUGCCCUUUGUACACACCGCCCGUCGCUCCUACCGAUUGAGUGGUCCGGUGAGGCUUUGGGAUCUGAGCGGAAAGAGCGUUUCGCUGUUUCUGCUCGGAAAACUCAGUCGAACCUUAUCAUUUAGAGGAAGGAGAAGUCGUAACA
rnacentral:rRNA from 1 species